rnacentral:rRNA from 1 species
AACUUCGUCAAUUCCGGUUGAUCCCGCCGGAGGUUACUGCUAUCAGGAUUCGAUUAACCCAUGCAAGGUUUUGAGAUUGACAUUCUGUCAAGAUCAAACCGAACUGCUCAGUAACACGUAGUUAAUCUGCCCUUAGGUCAGAUAUAACCUCGGGAAACUGAGGAUAAUAUCUGAUAGGAAAAAGAUACUGGAAGGUUCUUUUUCUGAAAGCUUCGGCGCCUAAGGAUGAGACUGCGGCGGAUUAGCUUGUUGUUGGGGUAAAAGCCCAACAAGGCUAUAAUCCGUACGGGUCGUGAGAGCGAUAGCCCGGAGAUGGAUUCUGAGAUUUGAAAUGAGCGGAAUUAAUUUAUCCGUUCUUCAAACAGAAAACAUGAAUCCAGGCUCUACGGAGCGCAGCAGGGGCGAAACCUUCACAAUGCCUGAAAGGGUGAUGAGGGAAUCCUGAGUGAUUUGGCACUGCCAAGUCUUUUGUCUACUCUAAAAAGGUAGACGAAUAAGUGGUGGGUAAGACGGUUGCCAGCCGCCGCGGUAAUUCGAAUAAACGUAGUGUGUAUUCGAACCGCAAAUAACCGCGCCACGAGUGGUAAUCUCGUUUAUUGGGCCUAAAGCGUUCGUAGCUGGUUUGUUAAGUUUCUGAUGAAAUCUACUAGUAAACUAGUAGGCUCGUCGGAGAUACUAACAAACUAGGGACCGGGAGACGUCGAGGGUACUCUUGGGGUAGGGGUAAAAUCCUUUAAUCCUAAGAGGACCACCUGUGGCGUAAAUUUUUGGAUUAGCCAAAAAUUUCCAAACAAGGCGCUCGACGAGAACGGGUCCGACAGUGAGGGACGAAAGCUAGGGGAGCGACUGGGAUUAGAUACCCCAUUAGUCCUAGCUGUAAACGAUGCCCGCUUGGUGUUGCAUAUCUCUUGUGGAUAUGCAGUGCCGGAGCGAAGGUGUUAAGCGGGCCGCCUGGGGAGAGAAAGGUCGCAGCAUUUAGUUUAAGAAAAAAAUAAAUUAAUUCGCGUGGCCUUUCCCCAAAUACGGCCGCAAGGCUGAAACUUAAGGGAAUUGGCGGGGGAGCACUACAAGGGGUGGAGGCUGCGGUUUAAUUGGAUUCAACGCCGGGAACCUUACCAGAAAAGACAGCAGUAUGAUGGUCAGUCUGAAGGGCUUACCUGACACGCUGAGAGGUGUUGCAUGGCCGUCGUCAGCUCGUGCCGUGAGGUGUCCUGUUAAACCUUUAGAACCUAAACUCUAGAGGUACAGAUAGUCAGGAAACGAGCGAGACCUGUGUCACUAUUUGCUAUUACUCUGUCCGCAGAGUAAGCACUUUAGUGAGACUGCUUCUGCUAAAGAAGAGGAAGGUACAGGCAACGGCAGGUCUGUAUGGCCCGAAUUUUCUGGGUUACACGCGGCCUACAAUGCGUAGAACAACGGGAUGCAACCCUGAAAUCAUUUGUGCUUUGGCACAUGUGUCAGUUAGGGAAGCUAAACCCUUAAAUCUACGCCUAGUUCGGAUCGAGGGCUGCAACUUGCCCUCGUGAAGCUGGAAUCCCUAGUAAGCAGAAGUCAUCAAACAAUACUUCAGGAGCACUGAUAUAUGCUUUGGAAGAUUGUGUGGAGUCUUUUGCUGAAUACGUCCCUGCUCCUUGCACACACCGCCCGUCAAGCCAUCUGAGUGGAGCUUUGGUGAGGCUUGUUCUAAAGUUGAUUUUCAACUAAUUGUACAAGUCGAACCAGAGCCCUACAAGGAGGGCUAAGUCGUAACAAGGUAGCCGUACCGGAAGGUGCGGCUGGAUCACCUCCUA